CCUGGAUGCUCCUACCCUACGUUCUGCUGAAGGUAUUCUUUGAGCAUGCAGGAACCCCAGCACCCUGCUCCACACUACUGCACUGCAAACUACUGCACUUACACAAGCUGAGCCACUUCUGCCUUUCAAGGCCGGCUGAUGCUACCCAAACACCCAAUUUUGUGGCAGAAAGGAUAUAUGAUUAGAAGUUAAUGCCAGCGUCUCACUGUUCUAGGCUGCGAUAGCAAUUACUGUCUAUGGACAGCUCAUUCAGCCACAUACUGCUCAUACAUAGAUGCACACGUUCUCAUGGCCCUGAGCAGGGAAUGAGGGCUUUUGGCGACCCGUGGGCCAUCCCUUGGGCCAAGGUCAGCUCAGCCGAAGAGCUUUUACUCUUGGUGCAAUGGUGGUAUCUUGUAUGACCACUCACUGCCAACGCCUGCACCGCGUGAGGCAGUGUAAGGGCAAAGCGCAAUGCUCCAUUUCCAAGUGGAACAAAUGAGAGCAUCUGCCAACCUCUGCGUAUGUAUGAGGUCAUUGAGGUUACAUUCCUUCAGGUCAGAAAACAGAACCAGCGUGAUCUCACCCUCGUGCCAGUUUCUCCACAUUGCGGAGUUACCACAAGGCCUGACGACACGCUGCUGCUGGGCCAGGCAGGACGGGACUGUGGGCUUGUCUGCACUGCUGGGAAACAAGCAGCCAGGAAUGGGCACGCACAGGCAACCUGCAGAGCUUGCAGACCACAUUUCUUUGGUGCCUGCUGUCCAGCUGGAACAGAGGUAUACCACUUCAGAGUGUGCAGCCCUGAGGACCACAAAGGGAGAUGGGAGCAGCAUAGUGGAAGGCGGCUAUAAAGCCCCACAGAAGAAUCGCAUUUUCCUACUCCUUGUUUGUUAUUCUAUGUGGCCUUGCAGUCAAUGGAUUGCAGAUGAAAUUCAAAAGGAGUUGAAAUCCAAAUUACGAUUGCA
rnacentral:lncRNA from 1 species